UACGUAGGGGGCAAGCGUUGUCCGGAAUCAUUGGGCGUAAAGCGUGCGUAGGCGGCCCUGUAAGUCCGCUGUAAAAGUCAAAGGCUCAACCUUUGAAAGCCGGUGGAUACUGCAGGGCUAGAGUCCGGAAGAGGCGAGUGGAAUUCCUGGUGUAGCGGUGGAAUGCGCAGAUAUCAGGAGGAACACCAAUAGCGAAGGCAGCUCGCUGGGACGGUACUGACGCUAAGGCGCGAAAGCGUGGGGAGCUAACAGG
rnacentral:rRNA from 1 species